AGCAGCCGCGGUAAUUCCAGCUCCAAUAGCGUAUAUUAAAGUUGUUGCAGUUAAAAAGCUCGUAGUUGAAUUUCGGGGUUAGUAAGUUGGUCAUGCCUUCGGUAUGUACUGGUCCCACUGAUUCCUCCUUCCUGAUGAACUGUAAUGCCAUUAAUUUGGUGUUGCAGGGAAUCUGGACUGUUACUUUGAAAAAAUUAGAGUGUUUAAAGCAGGCUAACGCCUGAAUACAUUAGCAUGGAAUAAUGAAAUAGGACGUUCGAUCCUAUUUUGUUGGUUUCUAGGAUUGACGUAAUGAUUAAUAGGGAUAGUUGGGGGCAUUAGUAUUCAAUUGUCAGAGGUGAAAUUCUUGGAUUUAUUGAAGACUAACUACUGCGAAAGCAUUUGCCAAGGAUGUUUUCAUUAAUCAAGAACGAAAGUUAGGGGAUCGAAGACGAUCAGAUACCGUCGUAG
rnacentral:rRNA from 1 species